CCCAACCCGAACACCUUCUUCCCCCGAUCUUCCUGACUCCUCUCGCUACCUCUUGCUUGCGAAUGAAUCGGCGCAGACAGGAACGGAGCUUCGACCUCCUGCGAUCUUCCUCUACCGGCAUCGACGCCUAGUAAGCCUAGAUCCAGCCGAGGCCCUUCUCCUUCUAGCUCUGAUCUCUUCUCCUUGCCACUGGUUCUCUCAUGAGGACGAACCGAUGCUACUGGAUCGAGCCAGAUCCACUCGAUCGCCGGAGUGGAGGAGGCAGUUAGGGCUCCGGUGGUCACCGACCCACCAUUUCCAGUGAUCACUUGAUUUGAUCGCGACGGAUCUAUUUCCUUGGUUGUCUUUAUCCCUCUGCCGAUGCUAAACAGAUCGAUCUUUCUUGCAAUCUGAUCGCCGGGAGAAGGAAAUUCAAUCAAGGGAGUCAAGAUGAUGCUGUGGAAUUGGCAUUGGGGCUUCCAGUAGCAACAUUGUCGGAUCCUAGGUCAUCACAGGCAGUAAGAGGGAGAGUAGGUGAUGAGGUUCUGUUCUGUGGUGUUCUUGAUGUCACCUUGGAUAGAUUGAGUAGGGAGGGAUUUCAGCAGGAUUGUGUUAUGUGAAUUCUCUUUAGCUCCAGCAGCAGCUCAGUUUGGUUCGGCAGCCACCCAUACCUUAGUGUUCUUUGUUCCAGCAUCUUGUUCGAUUGUGAGUUUGAGGACUCUGAUUCGAGACGAGCAUCUCGACCUUGGAUCGCUUGGUUGUACUUUCUAUUUGAGGCGGGUACCCU